rnacentral:rRNA from 1 species
GACGAACGCUGGCGGCGUGCUUAACACAUGCAAGUCGAGCGGAGCGGCGGACGGGUGAGUAAGGCGUGCGUAACUGACCCCCUCUCUGGGAGAACAGUUGGAAACGGCUGCUAAUGCCGGAUAGUGGGGGAUGACUCGCGUACGAUCAGCUUGUUGGUGGGGUAGUGGCGUACCAAGGCGACGACGGGUAGCCGGCCUGAGAGUGCGACCGGCCACAGUGGGCUGAGAUACCGCCCAAACUCCUACGGGAGGCAGCAGUGGGGAAUUUUGCACAAUGGGGCAAACCCUGAUGCAGGAACGCCGCGUGCGGGAUGUCGGCCUUCGGGUUGUAAACCGCUUUCAGCCAUGACGCGGUAGUUGCAGAAGAAGCACCGGCUAACUACGUGCCAGCCGCCGCGGUAAUUC